CCUACGUGUGGCAGCAGUCGAGAAUCAUUCACAAUGGGGGAAACCCUGAUGGUGCGACGCCGCGUGGGGGAAUGAAGGUCUUCGGAUUGUAAACCCCUGUCAUGUGGGAGCAAAUUAAAAAGAUAGUACCACAAGAGGAAGAGACGGCUAACUCUGUGCCAGCAGCCGCGGUAAUACAGAGGUCUCAAGCGUUGUUCGGAGUCACUGGUCGUAAGGCGUGCUUAGGCUGUUUCGCAAGUCGUGUGUGAAAGGCGCGGGCUCAACCCGGGGAUGGCACAUGAUACUGUGAGAGUGAAGUAAUGGAGGGGGAACUGGAAUUCUCGGUGUAGCAGUGAAAUGC
rnacentral:rRNA from 1 species